rnacentral:rRNA from 1 species
ACCGGCGGCUCGAGUGGUGGCCACUAUUACUGGGCUUAAAGCGUUCGUAGCUGGCUUGUUAAGUCUCUGGGGAAAUCUUCCGGCUCAACCGGAAGGCGUCUCAGGGAUACUGGCAGGCUAGGGACCGGAAGAGGUGAGAGGUACUCCAGGGGUGGGAUCGAACCCGGGCGGCCCCUGGGGGGAGGAAUGUGGGCAGGGGGAACCACCAGGACGACACCCACAGUGGGGAGGCUAACCGGGUAAAGCAAAGAG